AUGCAGGAUAAAUCUUUUGGCCAGUCAAUAGAACCGUUGCAGACCACAGAACGCGCCACUGAGAGAGAGACAGCCAUUAUGUCGUGCAAAUAUGACAGCCAAGCACGGAGUUUACACUGGUAUCGACAAUACCCUGGAUCAAGACCUGAAUUUCUGAUUCUCGUUUAUGAAUCAAAUAGUGUAGUUCAUGCAGAACCCCCUUUCCCAAGACUGAAUGCAAGAGUGAAUAAGGUGGAGAAGCAGGUCCAUCUGGAGAUCUCCUCUGCUGCUGUAUCAGACUCUGCUCUGUAUUACUGUGCUCUGGAGCCCACAGUGACAGGAAACACAUCAACACUGUACAAAAACCUCUAUGAUAAAUAA